rnacentral:rRNA from 1 species
UGUCUUUAUGGCAAAUGUGAGAUGCAGUGUAUGGAAUGUCAGAUUUCUAGUAUGAGAAAUUAACGAUUUAAGUCCUUCUUAAAUGAGGCCAUUUACCCAAAGAGGGUGCCAGGCCCGUAUAACGUUAAUGAUUACUAGAUGACAUUUCCAAAGAGUCGUGUUGCUUGAUAGUGCAGCACUAAGUGGGUGGUAAACUCCAUCUAAAACUAAAUAUAACCAUGAGACCGAUAGUAAACAAGUACCGUGAGGGAAAGUUGAAAAGAACUCUGAAUAGAGAGUUAAAUAGUACGUGAAACUGCUUAGAGGUUAAGCCCGAUGAACCUGAAUAUCCAUUAUGGAAAAUUCAUCAUUAUGAUUUUAAUAUUAAUAAUAUUAUAAUAAUGGUGUGCAUUUUUUCCAUAUAAGGACAUUGUAAUCUAUUAACCAAAUACAUUUAUUAAAAGAUCAAUUGCUUUAGUUUAUUCAAAUUACUUUUGCUUGCAAAUUUAACAUAGAAUAAAUGCUUUUGAUUUGAUAAAGUGUUGAUAGAUUUAUUAUAUAUAGUGCUUGAAUAUAUUUUUUUAUAUUCUAUAAUAGCGUAUUGAUCAAUGAUUUUUAUGUUCAUUAUUAUGCACUUAUAUGAUUAACAAUGCGAAAGAUUCAGGAUACCUUCGGGACCCGUCUUGAAACACGGACCAAGGAGUCUAACAUAUUUGCAAGUUAUUGGGAAUUAAAAACCUAAUAGCGAAAUUAACAUAACUUAUAUAUAAUGGGAUUAGUUUUUAGUUCUAUAUUUUAUAUAGUCUAAUAAUUCAAUCCCGGGGCGUUCUAUACAGUUAUGUAUAAUAAUAUUUAUAUUAUUUAUACCUCUAACUAGAGCGUACCUUGAGCAUAUAUGCUGUGACCCGAAAGAUGGUGAACUAUACUUGAUCAGGUUGAAGUCAGGGGAAACCCUGAUGGAAGACCGAAACAGUUCUGACGUGCAAAUCGGAAGUCAGAAUUGAGU